AUCGAAAGAAGAGGUUGCUUCAAACAUUAGUAGGUGAUUAAGACGAAAAGCGUCGAAGAUGUCAUGCGAAAGGGUGCGAAGCCGAAACUAGCAUGCGCUUUUUCAAUUGUUGGUUGGGGCACAUUUUAACAGAGUGUGAACUGUCGUAACCAGAUACGGUUGCGGAGCGCUAUCUACGAU
rnacentral:ncRNA from 2 species